CAGCAAGCAAGACUAAGAGCGAAGAUUUGAAUUGGAAAUCGAACUAUUUCACUGCAAAGAAAACCAUCGACGUCCAUAAAGAUUCAGAAAUUGGAGACAGUGGAGGAACUACUCGACCUUGAAGAGUCGAUAAAAACUCAACCAAGCAAGAAAGAUUUGCUGACAGCCAGGCUCUCAAAGAUUGGUGAAUAUAACUUAAAGAGCUGUUUAAGCACCAUCAUGGACAGGCUCAUGACAAAUGAAAUAAUGUCCAAUCUGAACAUGAAGGGGAGAGGGGGGAAAAAAUAGCUUUGCCGAGACGAAGCUGCUCGAUGUAGUCACAGCUAGUGUCUUGGAUACCCAGAAGGGGACCGAAACGAUGGUCCAUUAUGCCAUAAAAAAUAAACUGGAAUAUGCCCCUGGACGGAAGGGAGGAAUAGGAUGGGGAUCACAGGCU